rnacentral:rRNA from 1 species
AGGACGGAAAGACCCCAUGGAGCUUUACUGUAGUUUGAUAUUGAGUGUUUGUACCACAUGUACAGGAUAGGUAGGAGCCGAUGAGACCGGAACGCUAGUUUCGGAGGAGGCGCUGGUGGGAUACUACCCUUGUGUUAUGAACCCUCUAACCCGCACCACUAAUCGUGGUGGGAGACAGUGUCAGAUGGGCAGUUUGACUGGGGCGGUCGCCUCCUAAAAGGUAACGGAGGCGCCCAAAGGUUCCCUCAGAAUGGUUGGAAAUCAUUCGAAGAGUGUAAAGGCAGAAGGGAGCUUGACUGCGAGACCUACAAGUCGAGCAGGGACGAAAGUCGG